rnacentral:misc_RNA from 1 species
GACAGAGGGUGCAAGCGUUGUUCGGAAUUAUUGGGCGUAAAGCGCACGUAGGCGGUUUGUUAAGCCGGAUGUGAAAUCCCGGGGCUCAACCCCGGAAGUGCAUUCGGAACUGGCAGACUAGAGUCCCGGAGAGGGUGGUAGAAUUCCUGGUGUAGAGGUGAAAUUCGUAGAUAUCUGGAGGAAUACCUGUGGCGAAGGCGGCCAUCUGGACGGUGACUGACGCUGAGGUGCGAAAGCGUGGGGAUCAAACAGG